rnacentral:rRNA from 1 species
UACGUAGGUGGCAAGCGUUGUCCGGAAUUAUUGGGCGUAAAGCGUGCGCAGGCGGUGAUGUAAGACAGAUGUGAAAUCCCCGGGCUCAACCUGGGAACUGCAUUUGUGACUGCAUCGCUGGAGUGCGGCAGAGGGGGAUGGAAUUCCGCGUGUAGCAGUGAAAUGCGUAGAUAUGCGGAGGAACACCGAUGGCGAAGGCAAUCCCCUGGGCCUGCACUGACGCUCAUGCACGAAAGCGUGGGGAGCAAACAGG